UACGUAGGGGGCUAGCGUUGUCCGGAAUCAUUGGGCGUAAAGCGCGUGUAGGCGGUCCGGUAAGUCCGCUGUGAAAGUCCAGGGCUCAACCCUGGGAUGCCGGUCGAUACUGCCGGACUAGAGUUCGGAAGAGGCGAGUGGAAUUCCCGGUGUAGCGGUGAAUGACGCAGAUAUCGGGAGGAACACCUAUGGCGAAGGCAGCUCGCUGGGACGUUACUGACGCUGAGACGCGAAAGCGUGGGGGAGCAAACAGG
rnacentral:rRNA from 1 species